CCCUUCGAUGUUCUGGGCUGCACGCGCGCUACAAUGGCACUGACAGAAAGGAGCCAAGUCGAAAGACUCGGCCAAACUGGAAUCAGUGUCGUGAUUGGGAUUGAGCUUUGUAAAUAGCUCAUGAAAGAGGAAUUCCUCGUAAGCGCGAGUCACCAACUCGUGUUGAAUACGUCUCUGCCCUUUGUACACACCGCCCGUCGCUACUACUGAUUGAAUUGGUUUUUGAAGCGCAAGGAUUGGCGCUCAUCUUUUUGAGCUGCCGAGAAUCGCCCUAAAAAAAUCAUUCGAGAGGAAGUAAAAGUCGUAACA
rnacentral:rRNA from 1 species